CGAAUGCUGACAUAAGUAACGAUAAAGCGGGUGAAAAGCCCGCUCGCCGGAAGACCAAGGGUUCCUGUCCAACGUUAAUCGGGGCAGGGUGAGUCGACCCCUAAGGCGAGGCCGAAAGGCGUAGUCGAUGGGAAACAGGUUAAUAUUCCUGUACUUGGUGUUACUGCGAAGGGGGGACGGAGAAGGCUAUGUUGGCCGGGCGACGGUUGUCCCGGUUUAAGCGUGUAGGCUGGUUUUCCAGGCAAAUCCGGAAAAUCAAGGCUGAGGCGUGAUGACGAGGCACUACGGUGCUGAAGCAACAAAUGCCCUGCUUCCAGGAAAAGCCUCUAAGCAUCAGGUAACAUCAAAUCGUACCCCAAACCGACACAGGUGGUCAGGUAGAGAAUACCAAGGCGCUUGAGAGAACUCGGGUGAAGGAACUAGGCAAAAUGGUGCCGUAACUUCGGGAGAAGGCACGCUGAUAUGUAGGUGAAGUCCCUCGCGGAUGGAGCUGAAAUCAGUCGAAGAUACCAGCUGGCUGCAACUGUUUAUUAAAAACACA
rnacentral:rRNA from 1 species